AACGAAUGCUGGCGGCGUGCCUAACACAUGCAAGUCGUGGGAGAACGUUUUCUUCGGAAAACAAGUAAACCGGCGCACGGGUGAGUAACACGUGGGUAACCUGCCUCAAAGUCCGGGAUAACACAUCGAAAGGUGUGCUAAUACUGGAUAUCUCUGUCUAUCAUAGGGUAGAUAGAUAAAGAUGGCCUCUGCUUGCAAGCUAUCGCUUUGAGAUGGGCCCGCGGCCUAUCAGGUUGUUGGUAGGGUAACGGCCUACCAAGCCUACGACGGGUAGCUGGUCUGAGAGGAUGAUCAGUCACACUGGAACUGAGACACGGUCCAGACUCCUACGGGAGGCAGCAGUGGGGAAUAUUGGGCAAUGGGGGAAACCCUGACCCAGCGACGCCGCGUGGAGGAUGAAGGCUUUCGGGUCGUAAACUCCUGUCAGAGGGGAAGAAGGUUGCAAGGCCAAUACCCUUGUUAAUUUGACGGUACCCUCAGAGGAAGCACCGGCUAACUACGUGCCAGCAGCCGCGGUAAUACGUAGGGUGCAAGCAUUGUUCGGAAUCACUGGGCGUAAAGCGUGCGUAGGCGGCUUUGUAAGUCCAAUGUGAAAGCCCACGGCUCAACCGUGGAAUUGCAUUGGAUACUGCAAAGCUAGAGUGCGGGAGAGGCAAGCGGAAUUCCUGGUGAAGGGGUGAAAUCCGUAGAUAUCAGGAAGAACACCGGUGGCGAAGGCGGCUUGCUGGAACGCAACUGACGCUCAGGCACGAAAGCGUGGGGAGCAAACAGGAUUAGAUACCCUGGUAGUCCACGCCCUAAACGAUGGAUGCUUGGUGUUGGGAAGAUCUCUUCUCAGUGCCGUAAGCUAACGCGUUAAGCAUCCCGCCUGGGGAGUACGGCCGCAAGGCUAAAACUCAAAGGAAUUGACGG
rnacentral:rRNA from 1 species